UAGUGGGGGAUAACGCACCGAAAGGUGCGCUAAUACCGCAUACGACCUACGGGUGAAAGCGGGGGACCGUAAGGCCUCGCGCUAUUGGAGCGGCCGAUGUCUGAUUAGCUAGUUGGCGGGGUAAAAGCCCACCAAGGCGACGAUCAGUAGCUGGUCUGAGAGGACGAUCAGCCACACUGGGACUGAGACACGGCCCAGACUCCUACGGGAGGCAGCAGUGGGGAAUUUUGGACAAUGGGGGCAACCCUGAUCCAGCAAAGGGGCGUGUGCGAAGAAGGCCUUCGGGUGUAAAGCUUAAGGGUCAGGGAAGAAAUCUUUCAGGCUAAUACCCUGGAAGGAUGA
rnacentral:rRNA from 1 species